rnacentral:rRNA from 1 species
UAAGGGUUCCUGGGUCAAGCUGAUCUGCCCAGGGUAAGUCGGGACCUAAGGCGAGGCCGACAGGCGUAGUCGAUGGACAACCGGUUGAUAUUCCGGUACCCGCUUUGAAACGCCCAAUAUCGAAUCAGGCGAUGCUAAGUCCCGUGAAGCCGUCCUGGAUCCUUCGGGUGAAGGGGAGUGGUGGAGCCGACGAACCAGACUUGUAGUAGGUAAGCGAUGGGGUGACGCAGGAAGGUAGUCCAGCCCGGGCGGUGGUUGUCCCGGGGUAAGGGUGUAGGCCGUGUGGUAGGCAAAUCCGUCACACGUUAAGGCUGAGACCUGAUGCCGAGCCGAUUGUGGUGAAGUGGAUGAUCCUAUGCUGUCGAGAAAAGCCUCUAGCGAGUUUCAUGGCGGCCCGUACCCUAAACCGACUCAGGUGGUCAGGUAGAGAAUACCGAGGCGUUCGGGUGAACUAUGGUUAAGGAACUCGGCAAAAUGCCCCCGUAACUUCGGGAGAAGGGGGGCCAUGUCUGGUGAUGAGUCUUGCACUCUGAGCUGGGUGUGGCCGCAGAGACCAGCGAGAAGCGACUGUUUACUAAAAACACAGGUCCGUGCGAAGCCGUAAGGCGAUGUAUACGGACUGACGCCUGCCCGGUGCUGGAACGUUAAGGGGACCGGUUAGC